rnacentral:rRNA from 1 species
GGAAGGGGGUGUCAACAAGACACAAAAGUGGAGUUAAAAUCUGUUUUGGGUGUCCAAUCUGAAGCUCUAAGCGAGAGAUAUUUGGGUCUUCCAACACUGGUUGGGCGAUCCAAGGACGGUACUUUCAAGUACCUGACCGAGAGUUCGAAAGGAAAAGUUGGUGGUUGGAAGGGACAGGGCUUAUCCAAGGCUGCCAGGGAUGUGCUAGUCAAAUCGGGCCUGCAAUCAGUACCGACUUUCACCAUGAGCUGCUUCCGUCUCACAAAGAAGACGUGCGGGAAACUGACUUCUAUUUCUUCUAAAUUC